rnacentral:misc_RNA from 1 species
UUGCGUGUCAUUGACAGGCAAAGUUCGGCUCGCCAACAGUUAUCGGGCAACUGUCGCGAGUGCCUGGUCACCGUUCGGCCUAUCUUCUUACCGGUUACGUCCAAUUAAGGAUUAACCUUAAUCUCCAUUCCUCGUCGUCUCAUCGUUUCCUCCCCUCCCUGUCGGUUGCAGCGCGCCCACCGCGGAAUCAACGUGCAAGCAGCAUGACCACGACGCUGGAAUCACCGGUGACGAGCCUGACGGUCAACACCCGGGUAUAUGAGGGUCAGAAGCCGGGCACCUCGGGCCUGCGGAAGGCCGUCAAGGUCUUUCAACAGGAGCACUACACGGAGAACUUCGUGCAGGCGAUACUGCAAGCCCUGGCUGACGACCUGGUGACCAAGGGUCUCGGCUGCACCCUCGUCGUCGGCGGUGACGGACGGUUCUACGGAAGGGAGGCGGUGUCGAAGAUCAUCCGAAUCGCCGCGGCAAAUGGGGUAAACAAGUUAAUAGUUGGUCAACAUGGCAUUCUCUCAACGCCAGCAGUAUCAACUAUAAUACGAAAGUAUGGAACGCAAGGUGGGAUUGUCUUAACUGCGUCGCACAAUCCUGGUGGUCCUGAUGCCGAUUUCGGCAUUAAAUUUAAUUGCUCCAACGGCGGCCCUGCUCCAGACAAUGUAACGGAUAAAAUUCAUGAGAUCACCAAAACGCUGCAGCAUUAUAAAAUUAUUCCCGAGGUUAGCAUAGAUAUUGACAAGGUGCAGAGUGUCACUGUCCUGGUGAAUGAUAAACCGUUUACUGUCGAUAUAAUUGAUUCUGUGAACGAUUACGUGGAACUCAUGAAAGAGAUUUUCGAUUUUGUGAGUAUCAGGAAAUUGUUGCAAGGUAGCGCAGAUAGACCAGCGUUUAAGGUUCUCAUCAAUUCAAUGAAUGGAGUUACGGGGCCGUAUGUAAAGCGAAUAUUUAGCACCGAAUUAGGCGUCGAUGACACUAGUUUAGUAAAUAUAAAGCCGUUAGAAAAUUUCGGUGGUUUACACCCCGAUCCAAAUUUAACUUAUGCCAAAGAUUUAGUGAAUGCUAUGAAGGAGGGGCCGUAUGACUUUGGUGCAGCUUUUGAUGGAGACGGAGAUAGAAAUAUGAUCUUAGGCAAGAAAGCUUUUUUCGUAACUCCUUCCGAUUCCUUAGCAGUGUUGGCUGCUAAUCUAAAAUUAAUUCCGUAUUUCCAAAAGACUGGCGUUAAAGGAUAUGCUAGAUCAAUGCCAACGGCUGCGGCUGUUGAUAGAGUUGCCGCUAAAGACGGAGUAAAGUUCUUCGAAGUUCCUACUGGAUGGAAGUACUUUGGAAACCUAAUGGAUGCUGGAGAUCUGUCGCUAUGCGGAGAGGAAAGUUUCGGCACCGGUUCCGAUCAUAUUCGCGAGAAAGAUGGAAUAUGGGCAUGCUUAGCAUGGCUCAAUGUAAUCGCAAAACUAGGAAAAUCCGUGGAACACAUUUUAUUGGAUCAUUGGAAGGUUUAUGGAAGAAAUUUCUUUACUAGGUACGAUUAUGAAAAUUGCGACUCUGCGAGCGCGGAUAAAAUGAUGCAGAGCAUCGAAGCCCUGAUUCAGAAGCCAGGUUUUAUCGGCAGAAAACUGCAGUGCGAAGGUAAAGAGUAUAUUGUUAAGCAGGCAGAUAAUUAUUCCUAUACGGAUCCUGUCGAUGGUAGCAAAGCUACGAAACAGGGAUUGCGAAUAUUGUUUGCGGAUGGUUCCCGCAUAAUAUUCCGCUUAUCCGGAACGGGAAGUUCUGGUGCCACUAUCCGUAUGUAUAUCGAUAGUUACGAGAAUGAUCCGGAUACUUUCGAGAAAGACGCACAACUGGUCUUGAAACCUUUAAUUAAUAUCGCAUUAGAAUUAAGCGAUCUUCGUCAACACACCGGCCGCGAUGCGCCUACUGUGAUUACAUAAGAGUUUGCUCGUUACGUUCGCGCGCUCUUCCGUCACGGGGCUCCCUUAUCUCUCAUUCAACCUUAUCUCAUUUAUUCAAAGAGGUUUAUAAAGUGAAAGUUGGUGGUAUAAAUUUAUUUGGAUCGUCAGAGGUUUGUCCGAUUUCAUUAUCAAAAUCACGAAGCAAUAGCAUAAUAAUCGUUACUUAUGAAGGAAUUUUCCAUUUUUAUAAACUGUUACCGUUUUACGAUUCCAUCCGUAUGAUAUACAUACUGUGCGUAUUGGACGAGAACUAUUCAAUAUGCAUAUCCGAAUAGCGAUUGUAAAAAAAAAUGUUUUAGAAUCUACUAGGAUCUCUACCUAGAUAUUUAACGUAGAUGUUAUUGCUUGAAUCCUUCUUACAUUUCUGCAUUUCAAGUUAAAUGUAAAAGGAUACGAUUUAAAUCUUACUUAAAUCUUCAAUUUUUUAGUGUAGAAGAAAAUUGGUAUUGUCUCUUUCGAGCAUUAAGAGAGAUGACUACUUUGUAAUCAUCUCUAAUUAUUUGAUGGAAAUUUGAUUAUUUAUAUGUAUAUUGCUCAUAUAUUUACAUGAGUUUAAUAAGCAUUAAAAAUUGUGCUUAUUGUGUAUUAAAAUAUAGAUCUGGUACAUGUAGACAUUCUACUCGUGCUAGAAAAUCUUUGGAAAAAUAUUUCGUGACGUAACAUUAUGUUAUAACAAUGAUAUUGUUGAUAUGCAAUAAUCUAUCAACUCGUUGCCACAGCAUAUAAUUGAAAUAUAAUUGAAAAAAAAAACACAAUUUAUUGUAUCCGGUAAAUAUACCCCGAAAGAUAUAAAGUGCAAAAAAAAACAUCUUGUACUUAGCCGUCAUUAACAAUCAUAUCUAAAUAUUUAUUAUACGUUACGGCGAUAAGAUAUGUGCGUCUUUUUACAAAUAGCUGGCACUAAAGUCGAUAAGAAGCUUUCGUUAUUUAUCGUACAUUUAUAUUUGCCAAAUCUGCAGUGAUACGUAAUGAAUAUCACCACGUGCAUUCCGGUAUGUAAAAAUAUAAUUUGUAAAAAUCACGAUUUUGAAUGGGCAAAAUGGGUAACAUUGUCAAUCUUCCAAAGCUUAUGUCUAUCCGCGACUCACAUUUGAUAUUCGUUCUAAAUUUCCAUUCAUUUUCAUCCAUGAAUUUUACAGACUUUUACAGUGAAAAUGCUAUCUAACACUUUUUUAAUAUUCCAGGUAAAUUAAUUUAAUUGACACAUUUAAAGUUUUAACGCAAUCAGAAUGAUAUAAUGUAAGAAGAAAAUUAUUUAGUCACUAAUGAUAAUUUUAUUAACUGCAAUAUGUCAAGGGCACAAAGACUGGAACUCAAUAUCAGAUAGCAUAAUAUUGGAGGAUUAACAAAAGCGUAAAUUUGAUAUUGUCUCGAAGGACCAGUCUUUCCAACGUUCACUAAACUGAUCUUAUCACUCUGCAUUGUAGCUGAUGCUAUGAUUUAAACAGGUAUAAGAGAUUUGUCAAAUAAAUUGCUACAUUUUUUACCAGAGGAUGGAAUGACUGGCCCUGGUGAAUUGAAUAUAGCGUAAUGAAUAAUAUAAUAAGCAGCUUUAAUUUAUUCUGCUUUAUUAAGUAAACAUUUUAUUAAUAAAUUAAGUCAUCUGAAAGAAAAACGUCACUGCAAUCUGUAAUGGAUGAUGGUGUGACGCUACUUUCAAAUUCUAAUGACAUAUUCAGAAUUUUUUUUCUCGGUGUCAGAUUGUAAUACGAAAAUUAUAUUUGAGUCUAACGCUGUAGAUUUAUUUAUAUCGAUAAAUUGGAGUGGGAAAGGUGUUAGUCUUUUUGCACUUCGUCUUGUACAGUAGCAUACAUAAAAACUGCCUAUGUAAAAUUUAUACUAUUUAUUGCAACACGAGCAUAAUAUGAAGAGAAUAUUAAAGUAAAAAACAUUAAAGUUUUUGUAGAUAGUAGUGUACAACUGUAAGAAUCUUUCUUUUCCACACAUUGAAGCAGUCAUCCAUUUGUCUUUCUCUGAAACUUUCGUACGUUCAUCAAUACCGCACACAAAGCUGACCAUUUCAUUGUGAUUCACAAUUCCCUUCGCUGCUGCAAACCACGGUCAAAUGCAUACAAUUUUUCCAAGUUGUUUUUUACUUAUUCUUCUUAUGUCAUUCCUCAAUCAUGCGAUUUUUCUUCAAAAAGUAUACUUUAUUAUUUUGUCUUUUCUAAAUAGCGUUCAGUUCUGAUAUUCGAAUAUCGAAAGAAGCAUGGAUGCUUAAAUUGGUGAACUCACCAAAACCUGAGAAAUAGCCAGUGGAUGGGACAGGACCUUGUCAAUUUCUCAGAAUUUGGGCGACCUCAGAUAUAGCGAUAUGAAUUGAAUAAGAAAUUUCACCGAGGCGUCGGUGUUGGGGAGAUACAUCGCGGGGAUAGAUAAGAAUCCGGGACAAAAGCAACGAGUAAACGUUUUUUUUUCUUCCUUCCGUGAAUAAAUGCAGCGUGUUACGGAGAGAUUUCGCAAGGCAAUUAUGUAAAUAGUUGGUGAAGGAGGAGACGGAGGAGGAGGAGGAGGAGGAGAUACUUAGGGACCUGAGCCGACACAUGCCCCCGUUCGAUCUGUUAAUUACGUUCUAUAGAAGGAACGAGGGAGUGAUGAGAAGAGAGAGAAGAAAGCGAGGUACUCCGAGUGUUCUCUAGAACGUAAUAAAGAUUAUUUAACGCGGCGGCGAUGUCACAGAGACCAGCACAGAGACUGCCGAUUACUAUAAAGAUAUUAACAUGUAACAUUUGUAUCAUAAUCAUAAUAAAUACUAAUUAUCAUUAUAAGUAUAUGAAUGAGUGGCUGCUCGGAAUGCACGUGGUAUGAUUCAUCGCUACUUCAUUGUUUUUCUUCGUCGCGCUCCAUGCUGAUUGUGACGAGGCAUUCGUGUAUGUUUCGAAAUAUGUAUUUGUCAAUUAAUCGAAUCUUUUAGUGUCAGUGAAUUGUCUAAAGAUGCAUAUUAUUUUCUUUUUUGCCGACUAGCACCAGAUGCGACCAUUCUGAUUCUCAAAUUUUUGUAGAGUCCAAACACCAAAAUAAAACUAAAUAAUAAAAUUGAGCUACUCUAUAAAUUUCUAAUUGUGCGAUCGGUUUUUAUUAUAUGAAUCUCAAUUAUUAUAUAAAAAAUACUGAUAUAUAGAAUUUGAUAAACCGUUUGCAAUAUCCAAUUAUAAAAAUCGAAUGUGUCGCAUUCAUGUUAAAUCGAAAUAGUAAAAUCCUGUAUAUUACGUUCUUCAUGUGAUUUAUUUUUAAGCGAUUAUUAUGUUCAAGCAACUCUCAUACAAUCUAAAGUGGUGACGACUAGCCCAACUUUUAAUAAACUUUAUCUCAUUACAACGAA